GAUGAAGAACGCAGCGAAAUGCGAUACGUAAUGUGAAUUGCAGAAUUCAGUGAAUCAUCGAGUCUUUGAACGCACAUUGCGCCCCCUGGUAUUCCGGGGGGCAUGCCUGUCCGAGCGUCAUUGCUGCCCUCAAGCACGGCUUGUGUGUUGGGCCUCCGUCCUCCUCCGGGGGACGGGCCCGAAAGGCAGCGGCGGCACCGCGUCCGGUCCUCGAGCGUAUGGGGCUUCGUCACCCGCUCUUGUAGGCCCGGCCGGCGCUUGCCGACACAUCAAUCUUUUUUCCAGGUUGACCUCGGAUCAGGUAGGGAUACCCGCUGAACUUAAGCAUAUCAAUAAGCGGAGGA
rnacentral:misc_RNA from 1 species